rnacentral:rRNA from 1 species
AUUGAACGCUGGCGGCAUGCUUUACACAUGCAAGUCGAACGGCAGCGCGGACUUCGGUCUGGCGGCGAGUGGCGAACGGGUGAGUAAUAUAUCGGAACGUACCCAAGAGUGGGGGAUAACGUAGCGAAAGUUACGCUAAUACCGCAUACGAUCUAAGGAUGAAAGCAGGGGACCUUCGGGCCUUGUGCUCCUGGAGCGGCCGAUAUCUGAUUAGCUAGUUGGUGAGGUAAAGGCUCACCAAGGCAACGAUCAGUAGCUGGUCUGAGAGGACGACCAGCCACACUGGAACUGAGACACGGUCCAGACUCCUACGGGAGGCAGCAGUGGGGAAUUUUGGACAAUGGGGGCAACCCUGAUCCAGCAAUGCCGCGUGAGUGAAGAGGGCCUUCGGGUUGUAAAGCUCUUUUGUCAGGGAAGAAAAGGCUGUGGCUAAUAUCCACAGCUGCUGACGGUACCUGAAGAAUAAGCACCGGCUAACUACGUGCCAGCCGCCGCAGUAACAC